UCAUAGUGCCUUGCGUAUUUCACAAUGUGUCCUUACUAAACCCAACCCUUUCUGAACAGACAUAAAAGAACCUGAAGCAUUAUUUCUGUAUAGUCAUUCUGUUUCUGACACAUGAUGGAUCUGCAAGUCUCCGUUGUUCUUCUUUUCAUUUUUCUCACUGGAGGAUAUUCUCUCAAGUGUUACUCGUGCACAUCUGUUUUGACGGGCUCCUGUGAACUGAAAGUGGAGACAUGUCCAGAUGGAAAUUUUAAAUGUGCAAGCGGUACGGUAGAACAAUCCAUUGGGUUCGCUAAGGUGUCUAUCACAACUAAAGGGUGCCUAGAUAAAUGUGAACCAGGGACACAGUCUUAUAGCUGCUGUGACACUGAUCUUUGCAAUGCAGCAGACGGAGUGUAUAAGGGAAGCUUCCUCCUGCUCUUGUCUCCUCUGCUCUUCUACCUCCUGUUUCAGUGAAUCCAGCUGAACUUCAGAUUCUACAGCAAAGACCAGCAGAAACUCAAUAUGAUACACUAUCUGAUACUGAAUAAAGCUUGUUUGCUGCUCUGCUCUUCUUUGGUUUAAGGAACUGAGAAUAUGUACUUUUAACAUUAAACAAAUUACUGCAUCAAAACUAACACAUGUAUGAAUUUUCUUUGCAUAAAGGAAAAGUUAUUAUAGAAUGUAAUAAAUAAUUAAAGAAAAGCAUUGCCGUUUCAAAAAGUGUGAAAAACGUCUGUAAUAAAAUAUUUACAUAUGUGUAUUAAACAUCUCUCUCAGUGAGUGAUGGGAAAUUUGUUUUAACUUUUGGUUCAGUUAGAAGUUUGAAUGUAAACCAGUAAAUUCAACAAUGCACACUACUACUAAAAUCUGUUUUGUACCUUUAACAUAUACUGACAACCUCCAUAUAAUCCAGGUGGUAAAUGAGAAAGCCACAUGAAGAAUCGUCACAAGUAGCUUUUCCACGAGCUGAAGUAUAUACUAAUAUAUAGAAGGUGCACAGAGUCAUUGAUGCAAACACAAAACACCAUCAUGGUAACACACAACACUUACAUAAUGCAAUACACAUUCAUUAAACAACAGAAGAUGUAACAUAAAAUAAAAAGAUGAACACACAUUUGCCCAGAGCUGAUACACAUUUGAUUCAAAGCCUGAUUAUUGUAUCUUAUACUUCAGUGAUGAAGUUUUAUUUGCUUAUACGAUUUUGUUUGUUUGUUAUAAAAAGAACAACCAAUUUGAAUAAAUUUAAUUGAUUACAAAACUA